rnacentral:ribozyme from 1 species
UGCCCAGCAACUCCUAUCUCUACCUCCUCGUGGUACUGGCCGGGGUACGAGUAACCUUGGGGAAGAUCGGGUAACCAACCCCCGGUGGGAACUUUGGUCGUAUGCUGACAGGGAAGG